UACUGGUUCUGACACUGCAUUUAAGGCCCUGAAGUCACACACCAGCCUCGGCUUGUUCGUGUUUUUCUUAUCCACAAAAACACUGGGCUGCCCCCACCGCCCUGGACUCUCUGAUGAACCCUCUCUUCAGGUUCUUGUCAAUGAACUCUCUUAACUCCUGCAUCUCUCUGUCUGACAUGGCGUACAGCUUGCCUACAGGGAGCUGUGCUCCAGGGAGUAAGUUGAUUUGACAGUCAAAGGGUCUAUGCGGGGUAGUUGGUCAGCUUCCCUUUCGCUGAAGACGUCACGGAGAUCUGCAUAUUGUCGUGGUACCUUCACGUUCUCUGUUACUUCAGUCCCUGCUAGGGUGGCUUGG